rnacentral:lncRNA from 1 species
UUUAUCAUAUAUAUCCUUUAUAAUAUUCUCUCAGUGUUAAUGUAAGUCCAAAUUUUCAAUUAUUUCUUUCACAGCUCGUGUCUCUACUGUUAUACCUAAAAAGUCAUUGUCAGCCGAUCAUGGUGACGCACACCUUUUGAUCCCAGGGCUCAGAAGGCAGAGGCAGGUGGAUUUCUGAGUUCAAGGCCAGUCUGGUCUACAGAGUGAGUUCCAGGAGAGCCAGGGCUACACAGAAAAACCCUGUCUCGAAAAACAAAAACAAAAACAAACAAGUCAUUGUCAUAUUAAAAUCACCUACGUUUUCUUCUGUUGUCUUAUAGGCAUCUUAUAGUUUUGCAUAUUACAUGUAAAGUCUACAUUUUAUUUGAGUCAGUUGUUAAAGGUAUAAGAUCUUGAAUUUCCUUUUCCUUUCCUUUUUCCGUUUCCUUUUUCCGUUUCCGUUUCCGUUUCCGUUUCCGUUUCCGUUUCCGUUUCCUUUCCUUUCCUUUCCUUUCCUUUCCUUUCCUUUCCUUUCCUUUCCUUUCCUUUCCUUUCCUUUCCUUUCCUUUCCUUUCCUUUCCUUUCCUUUCCUUUCCUUUCCUUUCCCUCCCUUCCCUCCCUUCCUUUUUCCUUCCUUUUUCCUUCCUUUCCUUCCUUUUUCCUUCCUUCCCUUUUUUCCCUUCCUUCCCUUCCUUUUUCCUUCCUUCCCUUCCCUUUCCUCCCCUCCCUCCUUCCCUCCCUCCCUCCCUCCCUCCCUCCCUUCUUCCUUCCUCCUUCCUUCCUUCCUUCCUUCCUUCCUUCCUUCCUUCCUUCCUUCCUUCCUUCCUUCCUUAUUAUGAUAGAGAUUGA